rnacentral:rRNA from 1 species
UACAGAGGGUGCAAGCGUUGUUCGGAAUUAUUGGGCGUAAAGGGAGUGUAGGCGGUUUGUUAAGUCUUCUGUGAAAUCUACGGGCUUAGCCUGUAAAGUGCAGAGGAAACUGGCAAGCUUGAGUGUCGGAGAGGGUAGUGGAAUUCCCGGUGUAGAGGUGAAAUUCGUAGAGAUCGGGAGGAACACCAGUGGCGAAGGCGACUACCUGGCUGGCAACUGACGCUGAGACUCGAAAGCAUGGGGAGCAAACAGG